UACGUAGGGUGCGAGCGUUGUCCGGAAUUAUUGGGCGUAAAGAGCUUGUAGGCGGUCUGUCGCGUCUGCUGUGAAAAUCCGGGGCUCAACCCCGGACUUGCAGUGGGUACGGGCAGACUAGAGUGUGGUAGGGGAGACUGGAAUUCCUGGUGUAGCGGUGAAAUGCGCAGAUAUCAGGAGGAACACCGAUGGCGAAGGCAGGUCUCUGGGCCGCUAACUGACGC
rnacentral:rRNA from 1 species